CUGCUAAUCUUUCUCUUUCUAGGUUCUGUUGGUUGCAUGCAGAUUGUGCCAGAUGAUUUAUCUGUCUAUGGUCUAAGCAUGGGCUCUGUGCUAAUAUGCAAUUUGUGCUCUUUUUUCCCUCAGGUCAACAGCCGACAGGGUCCUUCCACAACCACAUACUUAUGCCAGUAAAAGCCACAGCUUUUCUCCUCCAAUCCAAGAAGCCUGGACUGCAGUCACCAUCUCAACACACCAACCAAGAGAAAGGCGGAUGGCUCAAUUCAAUAUGGAAAAUUGCACAAUAAAAGUUCCAGGACAUGAAGGCUGCAUACUGUGAACGUCAACCUUCAGGGCACCGUCCUGCGCAGAAGACUUUCUACCCUAAGAGGGAUGGCUGACCGCAGACACUCACAACCAGCACAGACGCCUCCAACCUCAAACUAGGCCCUUCACAGUUGCUGCACUUACCCACCUUCCCAGAGUUUUUGUGUGGUAAUGACAACUGUAAAUAUAGUAUAAAGUAAUGUAUCUAGUGUCAUGUGUAAUGCAUUGUUUAAAUUGUCCAUACAUUUCAAUGACAGUAAA